CACUCCAGGGUGCUAAGUAAGGCCGGCUGCUUGUUCUGAAGGACUUGGGUCUUGGGAUGCAGAUUGUCAGUCCCACCGCAUGGGAGUGAAGCAACUGCUUCUGCCCUGAGUGGGUUGGGAUGGCGCAGGGGCAGCCGUAGAGUUAACCACGGGCUAGAAGAAAGCCUGCCCUUCUCCCGAGGAAGAGACUAGCUCCAGACUUGCAACUGUCCAAUGCUGAGAUACAAGACCUUGAAGACCAAUUUUUGACCCUUCAUGGCGGGACGAGCCAGCCCUGGGAGGAUGGAGGUCCUUGAAAAGCACCAGCCAGGAAAGGGAUGCUUCGAGGCGGAAACCCAAGUCACAGAAUUCCUCUGAAGCAUCUCAGAAGUGAGAGCAACCCGCACUUCCUCUUUCAGACAGCGACGGGCUCCCACGUGAACUAUGGUGGAGAGGAAUACCUUUGUCCUCAGCAACUGAAGACCUGGCCUCUUGAUAACUUCCCCUUUAUCCUAGUGGCGUUUCUAGAGAAACCUGAUAACUUCUUCACGUGACUACUGGAGAAGCCACAGUCUGCUUGAAGCAGAAGCUCCCCUAGGCAGGAGAAUGAAGCUACAGGACGCAGCCAUAGGCAGGCUCCUGUAGGCCAGGGGGCGGGGCAAACCCUGGCAAUAUUCACACUCAUAAUAGGAAGCCCCUCCCACUUGGUGGGAAUGCUUCCCCACGCACCCACACCAGCACCCUGUGCAGUGUUGAUCAGGCCUCAACCUCCCAGGGUAGCGAGGGACUCCAUGUCUGUUUUUCAAAGCCCAUGAUAGCAUCCUCUUGGCUCUGGGAAAUCUUUACAGUAUGCUGUCUGCCUUAGAACUCUGCAGCAUUUCCCGUGAGUGGAGCUGUGCACAGGAGGUCCUGGGUCUUCACUCGGGGGGGGGGGGGGACCAUCAGUGAGAUGCGCUCACACACCUGACCUGGAAUGCCAGUCUUUCUCCUUUUGCCGUACCCCAAAUCUACCUCUUGCUCUGUAGCCCCCUCCUAAACACGUCUUUUUUCCUUACCUUCACCCCUAAGUCUUUAUUAUUUGUAUACUCCAGAGCUAUUUUCCCUCACUAAGCAUUACUUAAUAUAUUAAUUUAGGAAAU